GAGUUUGAUCUUGGCUCAGAUUGAACGCUGGCGGCAUGCCUUACACAUGCAAGUCGAGCGGCAGCGCGGGGGCAACCCUGGCGGCGAGCGGCGAACGGGUGAGUAAUACAUCGGAACGUGUCCAGUAGUGGGGGAUAACCUGUCGAAAGAUAGGCUAAUACCGCAUACGAUCUACGGAUGAAAGCGGGGGACCGCAAGGCCUCGCGCUAUUGGAGCGGCCGAUGUCGGAUUAGCUAGUUGGUGGGGUAAAGGCUCACCAAGCCAACGAUCUGUAGCUGGUCUGAGAGGACGACCAGCCACACUGGGACUGAGACACGGCCCAGACUCCUACGGGAGGCAGCAGUGGGGAAUUUUGGACAAUGGGCGCAAGCCUGAUCCAGCCAUGCCGCGUGCAGGAUGAAGGCCUC
rnacentral:rRNA from 1 species